GAUGGACGCUGGCGGCGUGCCUAAUACAUGCAAGUCGAGCGAACGGACGAGAAGCUUGCUUCUCUGAUGUUAGCGGCGGACGGGUGAGUAACACGUGGAUAACCUACCUAUAAGACUGGGAUAACUUCGGGAAACCGGAGCUAAUACCGGAUAAUAUUUUGAACCGCAUGGUUCAAAAGUGAAAGACGGUCUUGCUGUCACUUAUAGAUGGAUCCGCGCUGCAUUAGCUAGUUGGUAAGGAACGGCUUACCAAGGCAACGAUGCAUAGCCGACCUGAGAGGGUGAUCGGCCACACUGGAACUGAGACACGGUCCAGACUCCUACGGGAGGCAGCAGUAGGGAAUCUUCCGCAAUGGGCGAAAGCCUGACGGAGCAACGCCGCGUGAGUGAUGAAGGUCUUCGGAUCGUAAAACUCUGUUAUUAGGGAAGAACAUAUGUGUAAGUAACUGUGCACAUCUUGACGGUACCUAAUCAGAAAGCCACGGCUAACUACGUG
rnacentral:rRNA from 1 species